rnacentral:rRNA from 1 species
UACGUAGGGUGCAAGCGUUGUCCGGAAUUAUUGGGCGUAAAGAGCUCGUAGGCGGUCUGUCGCGUCUGCUGUGAAAACUCGGGGCUUAACCCCGGGCCUGCAGUGGGUACGGGCAGACUAGAGUGCGGUAGGGGAGACUGGAAUUCCUGGGUGUAGCGGUGAAAUGCGCAGAUAUCAGGAGGAACACCGGUGGCGAAGGCGGCGACCUGGGCCAAUAUUCGACGCUGAGGUGCGAAAGCGUGGGGAGCAAACAGG